UUUUUUUUUUUCAAUUUUACUUUGGAAAAAACCCUUCGCCAAGGAGCCUAACUUCGCUGGAAAAAGCUAUUAAAGUUUUUGACAAUGUAAUUAUCGUGCAAUAAAAACAUGUGCGGAAAAUUAGGUGAAAAAGUUUUACCGACGAGGUUAGGCUCACCAACAAAACAUUUUGCAUUUAGUGAAACAUUGAGUUUCAUUUUUAUUUUGAGGAAAAAACCUUUGCCGGGGAGCCUGACUUCGCUUGCAAAAGGUGAACCAGAAUAAAACACGAACCGAACCCCAUUUUCACCAUUUUCUUCUCUCUUUUCUUCUUCUUCUUUCUCUUCUUCUCCUUCUCUUAAUCUAAACCUAUAAUCCUCUCCACCACCACCAUCAUCUCUAGCACCUCCAAACUACCCCACCACCAUCAUCAUCUCCACCAAAUUCUCUUUCUCUUUCUCCCUUUCUCUCCUUCUAUCUCCCUCUUUAAAAAAAAAAAAUUAAAGCAUCAUUGUUGCUGCCUAUGCUGCUGUGCUCUAACCAACACCACCGUUGUUGUGGCCUGACCUACGAUGCCACCUUCCCCUCUCUCAGUGAAGAGUAUUAUCAAGAUCUGAGCCUGAUUCUUCUUCAGUUGUUAGAUUCUUCAAAGUCUUACACGCUAUGAUUGAGUACUAACUUGAUAUGUGUGGGCAUGUACUCAAUCACUAAGAGGGAUGAAAUUUUCUGAAGAACACUCAAGGGAAUUUCAAAAUAGAAGAAGAAGAAAGAAGGAGGUCUCAAAACUCUCUAGUUGUUUGACAAUUUGUAAACUAGGUUAUGAGCAUUAGUUUGGAUAAUGAGACCAUCCUAUUCUUUUUAGACUAUUUCACUUAGGGUUAGAUUUAAAUUAUAUGGCAUUAAAAUGAUAAAAAUUGGGCAAAAAUCACAUUAAGUGGGCCCCACUAAAUUGGAAUUUUUCUAUUUUAUACAACUAUUUAUCAUUUUCUCUCACAAA